UAAACCAUUGACAUAUAACUAUAUAAUUCUAAGCUCGAUGUAGUAAACAAACAAAACUAACCAAAACAAACAUUCUAGGAUGGCGAGUUCAGAAAUUAUUGAAACAACAGAACAUGAAGAAGACUUAGCAACUUCGUUAUCACACGAUGAGUUACUAGAAGUCACACAAUCAUCCCUAGCGACAUUAUUGAGCAAUGAUUCUCUUCUAAAAGAUCUUCCUAGCGACAUUUUAAUUGAGGAAGUCUUAUCGCAGAUAGCUGUUGAACAUGGCCAGUCAAUCACGAUUUUUGUAUCAAGAGAGACUGAACCAACCUUAAAAGUUAUUAUUCCCCAGAAUGCUUCAGUCAGAGGUCUCAAAAAAACAAUACAGAGGCAUUUUGAAUUGUAUCAAAAGAGGGCAGGUAUCAACACAAAGAUAUCCUGGAAAUAUAUCUGGAAGACUUAUAACCUGACUUUCGACAGCACAGUCUUAGAUGACGACAAUGCCCCCAUACAAAGCUAUGGGGUCAUUAACAAAGUUACACUACAGUUCAAGAAAAGAAAAGGAAACAAAAAAAGAUAAUUUCUGUUCAAAGUCGGGCUGCGGCGGCGGUUCCUGCGGCAACGGCUCGAAGUCGCCGAGACUGUAGUGCGGCUCCUCGUGGCGUGGGGUGGCGAGCGGACGGUCGUUUGACAGCAGUAGCGUCGUCACCAGCCCCGAUGGUGUUGGCGCGGGCGUCCUCUUCCGACGCGUACGCAGACUUGUGGUCACACAUCAGUAGACGCAGUGGGAGCGGUAGGGCGCCGGGCGCGGGGCGUCCUCCAGCGAGUGCGGGCCGGCGCAGUAGCCGCUGUGACGCAGCAUCGCGCGGUAGCAGGAUGUCACGUACGAGCACUUCGUGCAGCGGGUUGUGCCCCUACAAGGAUGAGAGAACACAUGAUAAUAUAUAAAAGAGUGCCUCAAAGAGUGGAGUAAAAGUGCCACAAAUAAAAAGAAAAAGUGUCACAAAGAGUGGAGAAACUGUCCCAUAAAGAGUAGAGAAAACGUCCCACAAAGAGUGGAGAAAAUGUCCCAUAAAGAGUAGAGAAAACGUCCCACAAAGAGUGGAGAAAAUGACCCAAAAAGAGUAGAGAAAACGUCCCAAAAAGAGUGGAAAAAAUGUCCCAUAAAGAGUCGAGAAAACGUCCCACAAAGAGUGGAGAAAAUGUCCCAUAAAGAGUCGAGAAAACGUCCCACAAAGAGUGACGAAAACUUCCCAUAAAGAGUCGAGAAAACGUCGUACAAAGGCUGAAAAAAUCCUGCCACAAAGUGAGAAGAAAAAGUUUCCAGUUAUUACCCUAAUAGCUGUAAAACUAAUCUGUAUUAACCAAAUCUAUACAGUAGUUAAGUACACACUGAGAUUAUCGAAAUUUUAUAAAAUGUGUGAACGCAAAAGACAUCAAUGUGUGGACACAAAAGGACCACCUUUUUCCAGAAAUACAUGUUUGUAAGUACAUGUAUGUAUACUUUUCUUUCUAUCUAUAUACUCACAAGAAAUGCUUGUCCCUCUCUAGCGGCGUGUCGCACUCGCGGCACAGCAUGCCGUCGGGCAGCAGCAGCGUCACGUCCUCGUACGUGUCCGACAGCGUGUGGCUCGCUGAGUCCUUCACCGGGGGACGCGCUUUGUUCUAUGAUAAAUAAACUUAAAAUGUAAUAAUGUAACAAAUAAACUUAAAAUACCUAUCAAUAGAAA
rnacentral:misc_RNA from 1 species